rnacentral:rRNA from 1 species
GACGAACGCUGGCGGCGUGCUUAACACAUGCAAGUCGAACGGAAAGGCCCUGCUUUUGUGGGGUGCUCGAGUGGCGAACGGGUGAGUAACACGUGAGUAACCUGCCCUUGACUUUGGGAUAACUUCAGGAAACUGGGGCUAAUACCGGAUAGGAGCUCCUGCUGCAUGGUGGGGGUUGGAAAGUUUCGGCGGUUGGGGAUGGACUCGCGGUUUAUCAGCUUGUUGGUGGGGUAGUGGCUUACCAAGGCUUUGACGGGUAGCCGGCCUGAGAGGGUGACCGGCCACAUUGGGACUGAGAUACGGCCCAGACUCCUACGGGAGGCAGCAGUGGGGUAUAUUGCACAAUGGGCUGAAGCCUGAUGCAGCAACGCCGCGUGCGGGAUGACGGCCUUCGGGUUGUAAACCGCUUUCGCCUGUGACGAAGCGUGAGUGACGGUAAUGGGUAAAGAAGCACCGGCUAACUACGUG